ACAAAAAUAUAAGCAAGAGGCUGUAGUUACAAAUGAUCAUCCAUCCCAAGUCCCCAUGGAUGAAUGGAGGCAGUUCACAGCAUCUGAUUACACGGGCCCAACCACAGGAACAUAGCUCCAUUCCCAUUCAACUGUGAUCCUGUUUGACCCAUUGUUCCAGCCUGUUGGGAUCUUCUCGAAUCCCGACUCUGUCAUUCAGUGCUUUACCUUCCAACUUUGUAUCAUCAUUUGAGAAUCUGUACCAGAGUGUAACAUCUACUAGUCAUUAAGAUCUGACUUACCCACUUGCCCAAGCCUGGAUAGUCAUGUUCUGGAUCAAAGAG